UCAAAUGUCUUUAGUCAAAGUAAAUGCUUGCAAAGCUCUCGUACUAAUAAACAAAUGGAUGGAGAAACACUGGUUUAAACAGGUCAGUUUUAUGUAACUCGAAAGAAAAAUUUUAUUUGGCUGAAAUUGUAAAGAAUAUAUUUAAAAAAUAAAUUUAUUUGGCCUGCCUAUUCUUUGGGGCAAAAACAUUGACGGCCAUAACAUUGGGUAGAGUUGGACAAAUUUUACUUCCGAGCAACGAACAAAAUUUUACAUUCAUUCCUAAAUUAGUUUUUUAAUGAAUCCAACAUUUUUAUUCGUUAUUCGGAAAUAAAAUUAGCCUAACUCUGACGUUGAGUAUGCACGUCGCUGCCUUCGGGGCUGUCGAGGGGCUGCGUAUGCACGAGAAACCCGACUCUUCUAACAUGUAAAUUGGGCCGUAGAAAAAGCGAUCAGAGAUGCGAAACGCGUUUGUAAUAAAUUUCACUUAUGAUACGGUCGAUUCUAAGAUGCUUGAAACACAGAUAAAAACUCGACGGUUCGUGUUCUAUACCUAAACGUAUCUGUUAAAGUCGGAUCCACUUAACCCUCUAUUGCACAAAUGUUCCUGAUCGGUGACCUCGAUAAAAAAUAAUCCAUUCGCUCACGUUUCCUAGUACCGUAAGGCUUGUGGGGAGACGUAGUUGCUCUAAAGAUUCAGCUGCUCAUUAUUUAUAAAUAACCAAGAACGUAUAGGUAACAAAGAAAUAAUUUCUCUGUCGAAAGAGAAAUAAAAUUCAUGCAUUAGAGGGUUAAAUACAGGGGAUACUUUUUUUUAUAUUCUAAACGCGAAUAAUCCGGUCGGAACGUGUUAUGUAGAUACGUUUUAAGUGAAACUGAUACAGUGUAGGAACAGGAGAAUAUAUGUACGUCGAGCGAACAGUUUGAGCGAGGGGCUCUGGUAAUCGAAGACUGGAGCGAUUCGCGGUUUCAAGGCCGAAACUAAAAAAAAAAAAAUAUGUGAUAUAAGAUAUAUUUCAGUAUAAAUUAUUAGUAUUACGAAUCAGGUUAACGAACAAAUUCUACGUUUAGCGGUACUGUUGUGCGUGCAUCGAGGUCGAACAAACGAUGCACGAUCCGGGGAGGGGGGUCAGUCCAUCGUGUGAAUCACGGUAAUUCAUUCGUAUCGUGAAACAGCAGAGCGGAUACUGGUUUAUCUUGCUGCUGAUAUCGAUUGUAUUAGGUAGACACAUGGUGUAUUCGUUGUUCGAUUUAAGAAUUUACGUUCGGUAAAUAUGCACAAUCUGAGAAUACAGAAAGCAUGUGCUGCGUGUGUGUAUGCAAGUUGCAUGAGAGAAUGAGAGGAAAGAGCGAAAAAGUUUCAAUCUCUAAUUCGUCGCAUGUCUUAAGUAUCUGGCGCACACUCCUUUUCCGUACUGCCAAUGAGAAACGUGUAACUGACGUUUAAACGAUAAAUCUAGGAUGUUCGAAAGUCCUUACCUCCGUAAGAACACAGAAUGUGACAUUAAUAUUGCAUGACACCGAUAGUAUUAUUAGCAUAUUCGAUUAUUAAAAAAAAGUCACGACGUUACGACUGUAUGUACAUUUUUGUAAUGCCAUAUUAUUUGUUAGUACAUAUAUAAUUACACGUACACACGCGCGUGCGGCGUAUCACACAAUGGAACAUAUUGUGAAAUAGAAUUAUUGAAAUUAGAGGUUUAUUAGUCGUUAAGUGUACAUGGAAAUAAAUAUUAAAAACAAAAAAAAAAAAAAAGAAAGAAAGAAAGGGACGGAGUGUAGAGAUGUGCGUGCGACUCAACGAUGAUUAUGCGCCGGAAGCGAAUUGAAAUUUAUUUUUAUUUCACUUGAAUUAUAUAUAUAUACACGAGACCAAAGAGACGUUUGCAAAUGAAAAGAGCGAAGCUUGUCUAGCUCAAUCUACGGAACUGUAAUUCUUCUAGCUCAGUGGUUUCCAAAUUUUGUUGAAAGACGCCCUAUCAAAAACAAAUAGGAUAUUUAUCCAUAUUAAAAAUUUUCUUCCACCUCCCAUUUGGAUUGUAAAAGACCUCCAUGUUAAGAAACACUGCUCUAGACGAAUGCACAUUUACUCUAAUUGAAUCUAACUCAAUUAAUCGUCCAAAGCCACUUUCGAUACAGCGCUUGAAGUUUCGCCUACGAAAAUUGGAUAAAGAGGUGUAACUAAAAGAGUGAUAGGGUUAACUUUUCGGUGGCCUUGAGCGGCUAAUUGAUUUCGAUGCGACUGUAACUCCUCCAUUCGCUUCACUCCUGACGCUGAACCGUGCUCGUCAUUCUUUUGUAAUUAAUCAUUUCCGGAACGUCACCAAAUAUAAUUAUGUGAAUGCCACUCACGCGUUCUGUUUGUAUUGUUCAAACGGUUCGAAUACGAGGGAACCACGAGGAACAACUGCAAAGUGUGAACCCCGCGGUCGAUCGACGACCGUGUUUGCUGCCUAGUCGAAAUCGGAAUAGAAUUAAUAUUUUCCCCGACAAUGUCUCCGAUACUCUGCUACGCGUCAGACCCGAAUUUCACUCGAAAUUUAUUUAAUUACUAUCACAUAAGGCAUUGUAAAGUAUUCGCGCACUGAUCGUGGAAAAAGAAUGGAAAGGAAAGAACAUUAGGUAAACCUUACGUUUAUGGGAGGCAGCUCCGAUGAUCUUGACCUUGACAUAUGUUGCCUCGUGGAACGAAAUUCCAUAUUCUUGUUUUUUGUUUUCGGUCAUUUUUAUAUACUAAUAACUUUUUAAUAAGAAACGAGAGGUAGCUAUAACUUUUUGGGGGGAUGCUCAAGAGUGUGACCUUCAUAAACUGUGUGAACGUCAAGGUCACAUUCAGUAUACGUAUACGCACAUUUUAGUGUAAUAGUAUUAAUACAUUUUUAUUAAUAACUUUUUAAUAAAAAACGAGCGACGGCUAAAACCUUCCGAGGGUCAUUCAAGUAGGUGACCAUGACAACAUAUAUCAAGGUCAAGGUCAUCGCAGCUGCCUCCCCUAAACGUAAGGUUUACCGAACAUUAAAAACUAAAAAUUAAAUGAAAAAUCUCGUUCGCUAUUCCAAAUAAAAACAAA